AGAACGAACGCUGGCGGCAGGCCUAACACAUGCAAGUCGAACGCUCGUAGCAAUACGGGAGUGGCGCACGGGUGAGUAACGCGUGGGCACCUGCCCGGUGGUUUGGGAUAACCGUGGGAAACUGCGGCUAAUACCGGAUACGCCCCUAGGGGGAAAGAUUUAUCGCCAUCGGAUGGGCCCGCGUAGGAUUAGCUAGUUGGUGAGGUAACGGCUCACUAAGGCGACGAUCCUUAGCUGGUCUGAGAGGAUGAUCAGCCACACUGGGACUGAGACACGGCCCAGACUCCUACGGGAGGCAGCAGUGGGGAAUAUUGGACAAUGGGGGCAACCCUGAUCCAGCCAUGCCGCGUGAGUGAAGAAGGGCCUUCGGGUUGUAAAGCUCGUUUUGGCGGGGACGAUGGAUGGACGGUACCCGACAGAAAGUAAGCCCCGGUACUAACGUUCGUCGUCCGAGCGACG
rnacentral:rRNA from 1 species